rnacentral:rRNA from 1 species
UACGUAGGGUGCGAGCGUUAAUCGGAAUUACUGGGCGUAAAGCGUGCGCAGGCGGUUUUGUAAGCCAGGUGUGAAAUCCCCGGGCUCAACCUGGGAAUGGCAUUUGGGACUGCAAGGCUGGAGUGCGGCAGAGGAGACUGGAAUUCCUGGUGUAGCAGUGAAAUGCGUAGAUAUCAGGAGGAAUACCGAUGGCGAAGGCAGAUCUCUGGGCCGUAACUGACGCUGAGGAGCGAAAGCAUGGGGAGCGAACAGG